CUGGGAAAUUCCAACCCUUGGGGAAGGGAUUUCUCCCGGUCCAUCAACCUCAGUGACCUUCAGGUAAUGUCAAGCUAACUGCAAUUACUUCAUUCUGCAUUUCUACCCCUGAAGGUGGCUACUUAAAGCAUGUUGUGAUGACAAUGGGUGAGAUACUAUCACACCCAGAGUCAGAGUUAUCUUAGGCACGGCACAGCGGCACAGCGUUAAUAGAAAGGACGUUAGGUUCUUGGGAGAAGUCACACCGGCAAAAUGGAAGAAGACUGAACUUUGAAUAACUAUCUGGACAGUGACCAGACCAGGAACAUCUAUCUGAAUUCUC